UACGUAGGGGGCUAGCGUUGUUCGGAGUUACUGGGCGUAAAGGGUGUGUAGGCGGUUGUUUAAGUUUGGUGUGAAAUCUCCCGGCUCAACUGGGAGGGUGCGCCGAAUACUGAAUGACUCGAGUGCGGGAGAGGUGAGUGGAAUUCCUGGUGUAGCGGUGAAAUGCGUAGAUAUCUGGAGGAACACCGGUGGCGAAGGCGGCAUCCUGGACCGGCAUUGACGCUGAGGAGCGAAAGCCAGGGGAGCAAACGGG
rnacentral:rRNA from 1 species